AUUGAACGCUGGCGGCAGGCUUAACACAUGCAAGUCGAGCGGGGGAGGUUGCUUCGGUAACUGACCUAGCGGCGGACGGGUGAGUAAUACUUAGGAAUCUGCCUAUUAAUGGGGGACAACAUCUCGAAGGGGAUGCUAAUACCGCAUACGCCCUACGGGGGAAAGCAGGGGAUCACUUGUGACCUUGCGUUAAUAGAUGAGCCUAAGUCGGAUUAGCUAGUUGGUGGGGUAAAGGCCUACCAAGGCGACGAGCUGUAGCGGGUCUGAGAGGAUGAUCCGCCACACUGGGACUGAGACACGGCCCAGACUCCUACGGGAGGCAGCAGUGGGGAAUAUUGGACAAUGGGGGGAACCCUGAUCCAGCCAUGCCGCGUGUGUGAAGAAGGCCUUAUGGUUGUAAAGCACUUUAAGCGAGGAGGAGGCUCUCUUGGUUAAUACCCAAGAUGAGUGGACGUUACUCGCAGAAUAAGCACCGGCUAACUCUGUGCCAGCAGCCGCGGUAA
rnacentral:rRNA from 1 species